rnacentral:rRNA from 1 species
ACAAUGCGGGACUAUCAGUCUUGCAAUUGGAUUGAGAACAAUGUACAACUCUUAUCGAUAAGCCAUUGGAGGGCAAGUCUGGUGCCAGCAGCCGCGGUAAUUCCAGCUCCAAUAGCGUAUAUUAACGUUGUUGCAGUUAAAAAGCUCGUAGUUGAAGUGUGGGUGAUCCCAUCUGUGAAGCUUCGGUCUCUAGGCUACUCGUCACCCCCUUCCAGUAUCCAGUAGUGGGUAUUCAGUUACUUACUAUUGUGUGUUGGUCGUUUACUGUGAGAAAAUUAGAGUGUUCAAAGCAGGCGUUUGCUUGAAUAGAUUAGCAUGGAAUAAUAAUUGAAGGCUUUCGUGUUC